UUACACAAAUAUGAAGGCGGGCUGGAACCUCUCGGGGUUACAGCCUUGCUGAAUUAUUCACCCUUGUCUUUUGCGUACUUCUUGUUUCCUUGGUGGGUUCGCCCACCACUAGGACAAACAUAAACCUUUUGUAAUUGCAAUCAGCGUCAGUAACAAAUUAAUAAUUACAACUUUCAACAACGGAUCUCUUGGUUCUGGCAUCGAUGAAGAACGCAGCGAAAUGCGAUAAGUAGUGUGAAUUGCAGAAUUCAGUGAAUCAUCGAAUCUUUGAACGCACAUUGCGCCCUUUGGUAUUCCAAAGGGCAUGCCUGUUCGAGCGUCAUUUGUACCCUCAAGCUUUGCUUGGUGUUGGGCGUCUUGUCUCUAGCUUUGCUGGAGACUCGCCUUAAAGUAAUUGGCAGCCGGCCUACUGGUUUCGGAGCGCAGCACAAGUCGCACUCUCUAUCAGCAAAGGUCUAGCAUCCAUUAAGCCUUUUUUUCAACUUUUGACCUCGGAUCAGGUAGGGAUACCCGCUGAACUUAAGCAUAUCAAUAAGCGGAGGAAAAGAAACCAACAGGGAUUGCCCUAGUAACGGCGAGUGAAGCGGCAACAGCUCAAAUUUGACAUCUGGCUCUUUUAGAGUCCGAGUUGUAAUUUGCAGAGGGCGCUUUGGCUUUGGCAGCGGUCCAAGUUCCUUGGAACAGGACGUCACAGAGGGUGAGAAUCCCGUACGUGGUCGCUGGCUAUUGCCGUGUAAAGCCCCUUCGAC
rnacentral:rRNA from 1 species